rnacentral:misc_RNA from 1 species
CAGAGUUGCAAAACUCCCACAAACCAUCGCGAAUCUUACCCGUACGGUCGCCUCGGCGCUGGCGGUCCGGAAGGCCCUCGGGCCCCCCGGAUCCUCGGGUCCCCCGCUCGCGGGAGGCUGCCCGCCGGAGUGCCGAAACCAAACUCUUGAUAUUUUAUGUCUCUCUGAGUAAACUUUUAAAUAAGUCA